GUCUAUGACCAUACCACUCUGAACACACCUGAUCUCGUCUAAUCUUGGAAGCUAAGCAGGGUCUGGCCUUGUUAGUACUUGGAUGGGAGAAGGAGACAGAUACC
rnacentral:rRNA from 1 species